rnacentral:snRNA from 1 species
GUUUUCUUUGGCAGUACAUGUAUUGAAAUUGGAAUGACACAGAGAAGAUUAGAAUGGCCCUUGAGCAAGAAUGACACACAAAUUUGUGAAGCAUUCCAGUGAAUC